CCAUAUCACAUUGAAACACAGGUUCACGUGCGAUUACCGAAGUUAAGCAAUGCCGAGCUUGGUGAGUAUUUAGAUGGAUGACCGCUUGGGAAUACCAGCUGCUGUAAG